rnacentral:rRNA from 1 species
GGACCUGACUGCUAUCGGAUUGAUACUAAGCCAUGCGAGUCAUUGUAGCAAUACAAGGCAGACGGCUCAGUAACGCGUAGUCAACCUACCCUAUGGACGGGGAUAACCUCGGGAAACUGAGAAUAAUGCCCGAUAGAACAUUAUGCCUGGAAUGGUUUAUGUUCCAAAUGAUUUAUCGCCGUAGGAUGGGACUGCGGCCUAUCAGUUUGUUGGUGAGGUAAUGGCCCACCAAGACUAUUACAGGUACGGGCUCUGAGAGGAGUAGCCCGGAGAUGGGUACUGAGACACGGACCCAGGCCCUAUGGGGCGCAGCAGGCGAGAAAACUUUGCAAUGUGCGAAAGCACGACAAGGUUAAUCCGAGUGGUUUCUGCUAAAGAAACCUUUUGUCAGUCCUAGAAACACUGAUGAAUAAGGGGUGGGCAAGUUCUGGUGU